AGAGUCCCCGCUUGCUCGCUCGCCCACCCGCGGUGUAGCCGAGUUGCGUGUACGCCGCUGCCAUCGCCUCCUUUCCCUACGCCAUCGUGUCCUUUUCCUUGCCGCCUCCGCCGGGCACCUCGCUUUUUCACGUGACAGAGGGCGGCGGGCGGCGGGAGGAGGGCCAACAACUUACAAGCAAAGGCAGCGGCUGCCCGCUUCUUCCGUGUUUUGCCGUUAAGCACACCUCCCUGACGCGCUGCCACUCGCCCCCUUCUCUCUUCUCGACCUCCUCCUGGCCACGAAGAGAGCGGAGAGAGAGGCUUCUACUUCGCCGCUGCGUUUCUCACACACACACACACACACACACACACGUGUACGCGCACACACAGAGUCCUUUCCUUCGCCACGGCAGGCUAUUACUUCUUUUCGACUUCUUUGGGUAGUUGAGGUAGGUGGGGUGGGCUGGCACUGGCGUCUUCGACCCUCGUGUCUCUCUCCAUCUUCGCAUUGCCGGGCCACACGAUGCGGCGUCUUGUGAGCAGCACCCAUGCCUCCGUGUGCGGCGGCACUGGUGCCGAGGCGACCUCUACCUGUAUGGCGAUGAUGGAGGUAUGCGACGCGCUCUACUCGGGUAGGCGGCGCCGCAUCACGCUAAUGCCGUUCUCAGCAGCGGCGGCGACAGCGAUGACCGCAGUCGCCAUGCCGCAGCGGACGUUUUGGUCUGGGCCGCCAGGCAAAGACUUCCUGAGCCAUUUCGUGCCAUCUAGCAAGCCUACCAAGGUUGUUUCACCGCUUGAGUCGCUGCGGCCACCGGCGCCGCCCUCUGCAUCGGAUGCACGGCCCUUCGGUUCACUCAACCGCACCAACAGCAUUCGCCGCUAUGUGAACAUCAACGCUGCAGAGGCCGCCCCCAGUACCGCGGACAGCGAGGAAGAAGCUGCGUCUUUUGAGUCCACUGCGUCACCGUCGAAAGCGACCACAGCGCCGGCACCGCCACGUAUGGAGCUCUCUCGGCUGCUUCACCGCUAUCACAGCAGUUCCUCGACCGUCUCUGCGCCCGCCACCACGUCGAGCAAUGAACUCCCUGGCACUCGCCGUGAGGAGGGUCUACUGCCACCGCUGCCGCCGCCGCCGCAGCAGCAGCAGGCAGCUGGUAAUUCUACCGUGGCCAAGGCGCAGGCGGCCAUAGCGGCAGCAGCGGCAUUAAAGCGUCACGUAAACACCUCAGCGUCACUGACCGCUUCCAGCGCAUCAAGCACGCGGCCGGAGGCUGCCGAUGGCGCCGCGGGCAGUCCCACGCAUGGAUGUAAAGCAGCAACAAGUCAAGCGUACCGUGCGUCUAGUAGCAGCAGUGACUCACGGCAUCACGUACAAGUGUACAGGGAGCACUGUACCAUUGGUUGGUCUCCGGACGAAUUCUACAGCGUAGUGGCCGAUGUGGAGCACUACUCCGCGUUCCUGCCGUGGUGCGCGGGGUCGGAGGUGCACACAACGCGCCGGGUGCGGGUGCCACGCGAUGCACGGCGUCUCCCUCCGAGCCCCGCCGCCGCCGCAUCGCCUCUAGCCACAGGCUGCGAGGCGGCUGAGUCGGAGCUCGUCGAUGCGAUUGAGAUGACCACGACGCUGACCAUCGGCUUCUCCUUUCUCAAGGAGCAAUACACGUCGCGCGUGACACUCUACCCGGGACGCAAAAUUGUGGCGGCUCUCUACGACGAAGAGGACGUCGAUGUCGAAGCAGCGCCGCAAAACACCAGCAGGGCCAGCUCGGCGGCCGCUGCACUUUCCCGCGACAGUAACUCCGCGCUAGGCACGGGCAGCGGCGACGGGUUCGUGCUCUCCUUCUUCAGGAAGGCGGCGUCCACGGCAGGGGUGGCGGCCAAGCGGUCCAUUCUCCGGCACCUCCGGUGUGAAUGGGAGUUCGCCCCGGUGGAAGGGAAGCCGAACACGGUGGAUGUGCUCUUCUUCGUAUCGUUCGAGUUCAAGAACCCGAUGUACCGCCAUCUGAUCAUGAAUAACGUUGUGGGUCUCAUGACUCGCAGCUUCGAGCGUCGCUGCGAGAGCCUGUAUGGGCCCCCGUCGGCGACGAAGGUGUCGCUGCCGGUCCUGUCCUGAAGAGACGUGUCCAUCUCAUAAUCCCGUUUUCUGGUUCGCUAACACACUGAAUAUUCGUUGUUCCGGCACCGCACGUGUUGCGUGGGCGCUCUUGAGGAUGUGCGCGAGCGGGCGUUCGGAUGACACGCACACACGCACAGCAUAGCGCCAUGGCGCAUGCGCAAGAGCAGGGGGAGGGGGGGGGGCGAUUGAGUUCGUCCCGAGGAGGAAACAAGGUAAGGUGCAGCCCCUGCGGUGAAGUUGUGUCAGGGAUUCCCACACGCUGGCGGCGUCUCUAUCUCGGUGCGGGAGUGUGAAUACCAAGGUGCUCGCUGUCGGCUUCUUCAUUGCACACCACCCUCUCUCUUUCUCUUUCUCUGUGUGUGUGUCUUCUGGUGCGUACGUGCCAUGCUGUAUGCCAGGCAGACACCCGCUGAUCCCUCGUGACCACUGCCCAUGCAUGCCCUGUUUCGUGUUUGUUUCACCCACGAUCAUCAUCAGCGCCCUCGCCAGGUUGUGCUUCUCUUCCUCCGCCUGUGGCGCUGAGUAGUGGAUGGCAUUCUUUAAGCUCGUU
rnacentral:misc_RNA from 1 species